CCUACGGGAGACAGCAGUGAGGAAUAUUGGUCAAUGGACGAGAGUCUGAACCAGCCAAGUAGCGUGAAGGAUGACUGCCCUAUGGGUUGUAAACUUCUUUUAUAUGGGAAUAAAACAGGGUAUGCAUACCCUCUUGUAUGUACCAUAUGAAUAAGGAUCGGCUAACUCCGUGCCAGCAGCCGCGGUAAUACGGAGGAUCCGAGCGUUAUCCGGAUUUAUUGGGUUUAAAGGGAGCGUAGGUGGAUUGUUAAGUCAGUUGUGAAAGUUUGCGGCUCAACCGUAAAAUUGCAGUUGAAACUGGCAGUCUUGAGUACAGUAGAGGUGGGCGGAAUUCGUGGUGUAGCGGUGAAAUGCUUAGAUAUCACGAAGAACUCCGAUUGCGAAGGCAGCUCACUGGACUGCAACUGACACUGAUGCUCGAAAGCGUGGGUAGCAAACAGGAUUAGAUACCCGGGUAGUC
rnacentral:rRNA from 1 species